rnacentral:rRNA from 1 species
CGUGCCGAGAAAAGCCGCUAUUGCCCGCGCCGCACCCGUACCGUAAACCGACACAGGUGGAUGGGAGAGGAUCCCAAGGCCGGCGGAGAAGCAUUGUCAAGGAACUCGGCAAAAUGGCCCCGUAACUUCGGGAGAAGGGGCGCCAUGCAGGCAUGGCCGCAGAGAAGAGGCCCAAGCAACUGUUUAGCAAAAACACAGGUCUAUGCGAAGCCGCAAGGCGAGGUAUAUGGGCUGACGCCUGCCCGGUGCUGGAAGGUUAAGGGGAGGGGUCAGCGUAAAGCGAAGCCCUGAGCUGAAGCCCCAGUAAACGGCGGCCGUAACUAUAACGGUCCUAAGGUAGCGAAAUUCCUUGUCGGGUAAGUUCCGACCCGCACGAAAGGCGCAAUGAUUUGGGCGCUGUCUCGACAAUGCACCCGGUGAAAUUGAAGUGCCAGUGAAGAUGCUGGCUACCCGCGCCAGGACGGAAAGACCCCAUGGAGCUUCACUCCAGCUUGGCGCUGGGGCCCGGUGCUGCAUGUACAGGAUAGGUGGGAGGCAGAGAAGGCAGGGCGCCAGCCGUGCCGGAGCCGCCGUUGGGAUACCACCCCUGCAGCACUGGGCUUCUAACCGGCCGCCGUGAACCGGCGGCGGGACACCGCCUGGCGGGAGUUUGACUGGGGCGGUCGCCUCCGAAAGGGUAUCGGAGGCGCCCAAGGGUCCCUCAGGAUGGACGGGAACCAUCCAAAGAGGGCAAAGCCAGAAGGGGCUUGACUGCGACACCGACGGGUGGGGCAGGUACGAAAGUAGGGCUUAGUGAUCCGGUGGCAUGAAGUGGGACUGCCAUCGCUCAACGGAUAAAAGCUACCCUGGGGAUAACAGGCUUAUCACUCCCAAGAGUUCACAUCGACGGAGUGGUUUGGCACCUCGAUGUCGGCUCAUCGCAUCCUGGGGCUGCAGCAGGUCCCAAGGGUUGGGCUGUUCGCCCAUUAAAGCGGUACGCGAGCUGGGUUCAGAACGUCGUGAGACAGUUCGGUCCCUAUCCGGCGCGGGCGCAGGAGAUCUGCGGGGCUGUCCCCAGUACGAGAGGACCGGGAUGGACGGGCCACUGGUGCACCUGUUGGCAUGCCAAUGCCACGGCAGGGUAGCCAAGCCCGGACGGGAUAAGCGCUGAAGGCAUCUAAGCGCGAAGCCCCCCCAAGAUGGGAUCUCCCAUCCUUUAAGGAGUAAGACCCCUUGGAGACGACGAGGUAGGUAGGGCAGGGGUGGAAGUGCAGCAAUGCACGGAGCUGACUGCAGCUAAUCGGUCGAGGGCUUGACCAG